GCAGGUUAGACAAACUGUUAAGCGUACGACCCAAACUAUCUGUUGUAAACAUCCAUUUAACAUUUUCCUAAUCUCAUAAUAUUUCCCAACAAAUGUAGCUGCAAAACAACAUGAACAAGAGACAGGACAGGUGAAAGCAGGGCUCCUUCUGUCCUCAUCAGACACCUUGUUCAGGGAUGCAUCCGGCAUUUUUUACACCUCAGGGACCUGAACCUGCGCCCAGAUGGUAGGAGAGUGAAGAGCUGCAGGUCUGAGAGGAUCCUUCGACGGUACAACAGCAUCUCGUGUGGCCUUCAGGAUCUGAGGCUUCGUAACGCGGAUGAUGAAAAGGGGAGGGAGAGGAGACAAGUGCGUCUGCAGGAGCACGAUAACAACACAGACACGGGACCAGAACCCGGAGCUGCUCCUCUACAGUCUUUUAUACUGCUGAAGAGAAAAGAAGCGGCUCUUACCUCCAAACAGCGCAGAAAAAAUCAAAGUGUGCAGGAUGAGACCUGAACGCGACCAGCAGCCCGACGGUGACGCUCCUGACUGCCGGAGCCGAGGAGGAGGAGGAGGAGGAGGAGGAGGAAGGGUGGAGGAGGAGAAGGUGGGUCGCUCCAUCGGACCAGUCCACUCUGCUGAGUGCAGAGGGGGAACAAUCAGCUCUGUUGUGAUAUUACAUAAUGUCUACUAGAAACAUGAUGAAGCGUCUGCUGCUACAGAGAGGCCGUUACUGUUAUGAAUUCAGAAAUAUAUAUAUUAAAUUCUACAUUCUGAUCUUGUUCUUGCCAUAAAUUUAAAAAUAAAAUAAGCCAAAACAGGAUACAUUUCUGAA